GUCCAAGGUGAUUCUCUCUCCAAAGGGAUGAUGGUGUGUCCCUUUCAGGAUUAUAGCAAGUUGGAGAAAGGCCUGAGGUCACUGGUGAACGAGGAAUACUUGUUUCCUUUGCCUUCCUUUGGCUGCCUUCAUGU
ensembl:snoRNA LOC120095403 small nucleolar RNA SNORA67